rnacentral:tRNA from 1 species
GUCCCCGUAGCUCAGUAUGGAUUAGAGCGAGGAUCUCCUAAGUCCUAGGUCGGGAGUUCGAACCUCCCCGGGGACGCCA